UAACAGGAGAGCAGCAAUACGAUUUUG
rnacentral:piRNA from 1 species